AUUGAACGCUGGCGGCAUGCUUUACACAUGCCGGUCGAACGGUAACAGGCCUUCGGGUGCUGACGAGUGGCGAAUGGGUGAGUAAUGCAUCGGAACGUGCCCAGAGGUGGGGGAUAACGCAGCGAAAGCUGUGCUAAUACCGCAUGUGAUCUGAGGAUGAAAGCGGGGGACCAGGCAGCAAUGUUUGGCCUCGCGCCUUUGGAGCGGCCGAUGUCAGAUUAGGUAGUUGGUGGGGUAAAGGCCUACCAAGCCGACGAUCUGUAGCUGGUCUGAGAGGACGACCAGCCACACUGGGACUGAGACACGGCCCAGACUCCUACGGGAGGCAGCAGUGGGGAAUUUUGGACAAUGGGCGCAAGCCUGAUCCAGCAAUGCCGCGUGCGGGAAGAAGGCCUUCGGGUUGUAAACCGCUUUUGUACGGAACGAAAAGGCUCUGGCUAAUACCUGGGGCUGAUGACGGUACCGUAAGAAUAAGCACCGGCUAACUACGUG
rnacentral:rRNA from 1 species